CCCCUAGAUGUUCUGGGCCGCACGCGCGCUACACUGAACAGUUCAACAAGUCUUAACCUUGGCUGAUAGGCCUGGGUAAUCUUUGAACGUGAAUCGUGAUGGGGAUAGAUGAUUGCAAUUAUUCAUCUUCAACGAGGAAUUCCUAGUAAACGCAAGUCAUCAGCUUGCAUUGAUUACGUCCCUGCCCUUUGUACACACCGCCCGUCGCACCUACCGAUUGAAUGGUCCGGUGAAAUCUUCGGAUCUGAGAGAUGUCUGAUUAAUUUCGGACGCCUUUUGGAAAAGUUGUUUAAACCUUACCAUUUAGAGGAAGGUGAAGUCGUAACA
rnacentral:rRNA from 1 species